CUACGAAGGGGGCUAGCGUUGUUCGGAAUUACUGGGCGUAAAGCGCGCGUAGGCGGAUUGGUCAGUUAGGGGUGAAAUCCCAGGGCUUAACCCUGGAACUGCCUCUAAUACUGCCAGUCUUGAGUGCGGGAGAGGUGAGUGGAAUUCCUAGUGUAGAGGUUAAAUUCGUAGAUAUUAGGAAGAACACCAGUGGCGAAGGCGGCUCACUGGCCCGAUACUGACGCUGAGGCGCGAAAGCGUGGGGAGCAAACAGGAUUAGAAACCCUAGUAGUCC
rnacentral:rRNA from 1 species